rnacentral:lncRNA from 1 species
CCAAUUAAACUGUGGCUGUCAAAUUUUGGCUUGACAAAGCGUCGCUCGGAAUAAAAGGCCCUUGAUCUCUCGUCCGCCGCGCCUUUCUACGCCGCACAUGCGGAUCGGCGUUGCACGCACUCGCGUGCAGCUCAUACACACAAGCGUCGCACCUACGCAUGGCCAUGGACCACCCGCUCCACCCCAGGUAGUUGUGGUACGGCCUGCCAAGUCGCUAAACUUCAACCACCGAUACAUGUAGAGUAUACAUAAUGCACGCAUGAUCGACUAGCAGUUGGCAAUUGCUUCCGAUUUGCGGCGACAGAUUAGCCAAGUACUCCGACUUUAAUCAACUGCCACUUACAGACUUCAGUUUCAGCUGCGAGCCAAAUGAUGGAGCGAUAGCCUCAGUUUCAGCUCACUCCUUCUCCGUGGCUCAUAAAUUCCCCAAACGGCUCACCCACCAUCACCAAGUUCUAGCCCUAGCUACAUCCUACUACUGUUCAGUAUUAAUCACCCCCUAAAGGACGUAUCGAUGUAUCACUCCAUCCUUGCACGACAGAAUCUCUGAACCUUCACUGCUCCACAGUCCGCACUUGUGGAACUCAUGACAGGAUGAUCCUCUGCUCCCUUUGCUGUGUUCAGACUUCAGAUGCUGACAUAUUGGUUCAUGAUUAGUCAUCACUGCCGCAUUAUGAAUAUGAUAAGGAAGGGAGGAGACGAGGGUACGUGAGGUCUCAUGGGAGGAAUGAUGCUUUCCAUCCCCCCUUCUCCCCUGCCCUUUUUUCAUCAUCAUCAGAUAACUAAUUGAAGGAUCGAUCUGGAGAAACUUCCCAGAUCAGCUUUUCUGGUGGGGAGCAUGUGAGCUAUCUGUUGGGGUGGAGCUGAGUUUGAUCUGUGUGAAGAUCAAAUCAAAUCCUCCUCCUUUUUAUACUUCUGUACUGCUGCCUGUGAAUAAAGUUCAGAGAAGAAGGAGAG